rnacentral:lncRNA from 1 species
UGUUUUGCAUCUGAUGGCUGCUUUUUCUUUCUCAUAUAAAGGGACUCAGAAGGCAGAGGGAAUAAUGAUCCCCCAUCUCAAAAAGAGAACAUGCACUCAGUGAUUGAGUCAUUCUUCAAAUGUUUACUAAGUACCCACUUUGGUGUAGGUGCUGUUGUAUGUCAGAGGUUCUCCCUUCCCAUUAUAUUACAUGUAAAAAUUAAAUGACUUUUUAUAUAGCAUUAAUGUUUUUAUAAUGAAGACUAAAGGAAAAAUGUAAUUAGCAUCCAGCUCGGAAGUAUUUAGGCUGUGAUCACUGGUUGCAUCUGUGAUUCUCUUCCUCAAUUGUACUACAAAACAGCAAAAGGUGAAACUUAUGUCCAUGAGCAAGAACGAAAGUUGGAUCAGAAGCAAUUUCCUUUGCUAACGUUGGCAGUAAUGAACAUAUUAGAGGGUGGAGAUUUAUUCUGGGAGCAGUUUUUCUGCAUUUCAGAAACUGACAUUUACCUUGCUCAUAGAAUGAGUCUUAGAUCAGUUGAGAGCUCUUCUCAUGAUUGAUGGGGCUCAGAGCUUGAUGAUU